rnacentral:pre_miRNA from 1 species
GGAGCAGUACUGCAUCUCUGGUGAGUCCAAGUCUGAGAUGAAGCACUGUGACCC